rnacentral:lncRNA from 1 species
GAGGUUCCAUUAUUUCCAAGAACAUUCAAGUAAAAAGUCCCCAAGCCACAGCCAAGUCCUGAUCUAGUGUAGAUAACCCCUAGCAGUGAACCCUGUACCCUCAAACACAAAGCAAGGCUCCGAAGAACCAGCUUCAUCUUUCACAAAAAAAAAAAUUUUUGGUAUUAAAAGGAAGCAUUUUACUAUAUAAUAGGAGUUAAAGCUUCUGAAAAUCUUUGUCAAAAAAGAAAGAGACCACCACCACCACCACCAUCCUGGGCACAAUGAGAAAGCUUUACAAUCAAAAGCACCUUUUCCUUUUCCAUCUUUCACAAAAUUUAACAGAAGUUUCUACGCUAAGUGAAUGCCAACAUGAAGCCUGGAGAGUUGACCUCUCCCUCCCCUCCCAAUAAGGCAGGGACGUGGUUAAAAUAAUCUGCACAUGUUUUGACACCUCCCCUCCCCUGCCUAGAUGUUUCCAUGAAACCAGAGGGGCGGCCAGCAUUUUAGAAAGCCUUGCUCUCUGGAAACUUUCCCAGGCUGAAGAGGCCCCUGGAAACCUGCUCCCUCCCACAGGGCCCCUCCAGCAAGAAAGGGCAUCUAAAAGGGGCGUCAGGCCUCUCUCUGGGCUGCUUGCUCCAGAACUGAAUACCCCGUAAGAGCAGAUUUGGUUUUGACACGCUUCUAAUGGUUGUCCUUCCAGCUAGUCAGGGUUUUAAGUGUUUCCCCAGUAUUUAUUUUUUAAAAUGAUGCCCUGUACCUUCAAGAACUGAAUUUCACUUUCGCAUUUUCCACUUUCGUCUCCCAGUACUAACUCCCCGGAACAGUGCCAAGGCGAGUGGCGAGGCUGUGCCUGGGUACCGGGCACUGCACUGUGCUCUCAAAGGGGGGAAUGCCUUCCCCACGGCCCACACCUCUAGAGCUUGGGAGAGUACAGCCUUCCGACUUGAAUGGCCUUUUAGGUAAAAUGAUUUACUUCAAGGCAGCAAGCUCUACAUUCUACUCAGUGGGAUUUUCAAGCGGCCCUGUCGCCAGAGCCUUAAAACAGUAGAUACCGGAGUUCCCGUCGUGGCGCAUGCUUAACGAAUCCAACUAGGAACCAUGAGGUUGCGGUUCGGUCCCUGGCCUUGCUCAGUGGGUUAAGGAUCCGGCAUUGCUGUGAGCUGUGGUGUAGGUUGCAGACGCAGCUCGGAUCCCACGUUGCCAUGGCUCCGGCACAGGCUGGUGGCUACAGCUCCGAUUAGAACCCUAGGCUGGGAACCUCCAUGUGCCAUGGGAGUGGCCCUAGAAUGGCAAAAAGACACACACACACACACACACACACACACACACACACACACACACAAAACAGUAUUUGAAUUGGGCCUUAAAGAAACAGUAAGAUUUGGAUGCCGAUCAAAACUACUAUGAGAUAUCACCUUACACCAGCGAGAAUGGCCAUCAUCAAAAAGUCUACAAAUAAUAAAUGCUGGUGAGGGUACAGAGAAAAGGGAAGGAACCCUCUUACGCUGUUGGGGAGAAUGAAAAUUAGUGCAACCACUAUGGAAAAGAGUAUGGAGGUUCCUCAAAAAACUAAAAAUAAAACUACCAUGUGGUCCAGCAAUUCCUCUCCUGGGCAUCUCUCUGGAGAAAACCAUAAUUCAAAAAGAUAUGUGUACCCCCAGUGUUCAUUGCAGCACGACUCACAAUAGCCAAGACAUGGAAGAAACCUAAACGUUGACAGAGGAGUGAAUAAAGAAGAUGUGGUACAACAUAAAUACAAUGGAAUAUUUCUC